rnacentral:lncRNA from 1 species
CGCGUCAUAAGAACUGUCGAGAUAGAUGGAGGAGGUUGUCUUGUUGUUUGUGUCCCGGUCUUUGUUGUUUAUCGUCUAAGAAACGCUUCUGAAAUGGUUACGUAAGCAAUAUUAUUGUCUUCUGAAGAACAUUUGACGUAAAUAUAUUGAAUUGCUUCUACAAUUUCAUUCUAUUCUGGAACCUUUUGCAACAACAUCCAACUGAAAACUUUAAAUUGCUCAAAUUGCAUUGUCUAUUUCUGUAUGCAUGGAGCAUAGACUCAAAAGUGGAGGUCGAAACAAGAAGCUGAUGUCGACAGUGAGGCGACAGUCUGUUGCCAAAUUCUUUGCCAUUUCCUUUUGCUCAAAUUGGUGAUACCGUACAAGUACCUGAUGUCGACCAUGGCUGUACUGAUGCCAGAAAUGUGUUGGUGGUUGUUGUUGGAAUAGAAUAGGAAUAGAAGACUCUGACUUUUAUAAAUUAGCAAACAAAAAUGGUAUCCACAAGCAGCUUUAUACCCAUAAUCAGUUUGUAAUUUGUAAAAAAAAUUACUUUCCAUAUAUGAGAUAUCUUCUCAAGAAAUAUCUCUGAGAGAAGCAACUGCAGAUAAUUUGAAAAGUGGAGGCAAAGCUAUACAUGCUUCCAUUGAAAAAAGAGGUGUUCAACAAAUAAAUGCAGUUGUAAAAGCAAUGGACUUUUUUAAAAUUCCCCUUGACAUGGUUUUCUGUCCAUUGUGAGGGGACCUCCCAGCGAUGGUUAGUAAUUCUUCUUUACUAUCCCUGGGAUCUGAACGCCCACCCACGUUAGCCAUGCGUGGUACUCUGUAUGCCAGAAAGGGGAUACUUGUAGUUGAGGGGCAACAUAAUGUCCCAAACACACUGCUUUGGCCCCUGCUUCGUAUAAAUGGGAGGCUCAAAUCAGGUGCCAUUUGAGUCAAUCGGCUGGUUGUUGAGUCAUUCUUGACCUCGGCUUGGAGUCAACUGAUCGAUGCAGACCAGGCAGAUGCAGUCAAGAUGUGUUCUUCUUGACUGCAUUGUGAGGGUAUAGCUCCUGGGUAACCCUGGUGUGACGGCCUAUGGGAAUCUCCCAUGUGAUGGCAUUCCUUUGUUGGGUUCCAUGGUGGGUGGGGUCACUAGGAGCUGAAUAGUUAUUUCUAAAUAUGGAUUCAUCAAAGCAAAAAGAAAUACGUAUCAAUGCAUUGCCAUCAAAUGAGGUCAGUUCCUCCAACCAACCAUCUUAGCUCGUCAUUUAUGCUACGGGAAAAACACCUUUUUCUGAAUGUUCUGUUCCUGAUUCAGAAAAUCAUUGAAUCGACCAUUGGGCACCUUAAAAAAAUCCAAAAAUUGAGGUAAGGAGAUCUACUCUUAGAAGAAGCUUACCCUCAACAGUCAGAAAAGCUUUUAAAAACGAAGUCUCUAGGAGACAUACAAGUCACCAUCACACCACACACAAGUUUGAAUUCAUCACGUGGUGUGAUAUCUGAGAUCGAUCUGAUGUCUGAGGAUGAAACAAAUAUUCAGAUCAGUCUUUCAGACCAAGGUGUCGUUGCUGUUCGACGAAUUUCGAUCUGUCGAGACAGCAAGUUGAUACCAACUAAACACUUUAUUCUCACUUCUGGAAAGCUGGCAUUGCCAUCUUCUGUUACUGCAGGAUAUCUGCGUUGCCAUGUUUGCCUAUACAUUCCAAAUCUGCUGCGUUGCUUUAAAUGCCAGUGGUUUGGACAUUCACAAACAUCUUACCGAGGAAAAAGCUUAUAUACACAGUGUGGAAUUGAAGGCCACCAGAGUACUGAGUGCUUCAGUUCUCCACGCUGUGUAAACUGCAAAGAUGCCCAUCCUCCUUACUUUUGGAAAUGCCUUGCAUAACAGAGAGAGAAAGUGUUUACAGUUUUUACCCCCUGAAUCUAUCUAUCUUACCCAGAGGCUUAGCGCAUGGUCACCUCAAGCGCUCCUUUAAAACAGAAGACAUUUGCGGCUGCUGUGAAGUGUACAAAAAUGCUUGGGGUUCAAACUGAUAUUUCUGUUUUUUCAAAGGAAUCUCUUACUCAUAAUGCAAAAUGUUUAAUACUUCCAUCACAAGAAACACCAGAAAGGGAGAGUACAAAAGCAAAAACACACUCAUUUAAAAUAGAGGUAAUAACGAGAAACCUGGGUUCUAAAAAGGCUAGCAAGAACCCACUAAACAGAGUGAAAGCAGCUUUCUGUACAUAUCAUAUCUUUGUACAUGUAAAAAGUCAGAUGAUCUCUCUAUAAGUAAGUUUUUUGAUAUCUCGGAUAAAGAGACUAAUAUGCAUGUGACAAAAUUAACAUCACCUCCACAAGAAAAACCCCCUAUGAAAUUACAGAGUGAUACCCUUGCUAAAAAUGCUGCCUCAAACACAUAAUGGAUUAUGAAAUAAUCAAAUGGAACUGUCGUGGUUUUCGCAACAACUUUUCUGACGUUAAACACUUGACAUCAUCUACCUCUUCUUUCUGUGUGGCACUCCAGGAAACCCAUGUAAAACCUGGAGAAAAUAUUUCUUUAAAAGGAUUCGAUCUCUACCGCAAGGAUGAUGAUAGCCACAACUGUGCCAGUGGAGGUGUGGCUAUUCUGGUUUCAAAUUGCAUUUCAUUCUUACUGGUAUAAAUAACCACUGAUUUGCAAGCUGUGGCAGUCAGAAUUUUUAUCGGAGUAACUGUCACAGUUUGUUCUAUAUACUUACCACCAGACGUCAGAUUUAAUGAGGAUGCAUUGGUUGAACAUCUGCCAACUUCAAUCCUUUUAUUGGUUGAUUUGAAUGGUC